GACGAACGCUGGCGGCGUGCUUAACACAUGCAAGUCGAACGGAAAGGCCCGGCGUUUGUGGGGUGCUCGAGUGGCGAACGGGUGAGUAAAACGUGAGUAAACUGCACUUGACUGUGGGAUAACUUCAGGAAACUGGGGCGAAUACAGGAUAGGAGCGACUGCUGCAUGGUGGGGGUUGGAAAGUUUCGGCGGUUGGGGAUGGACUCGAGGCUUAUCAGCUUGUUGGUGGGGUAGUGGCUUACCAAGGCUUUGAAGGGUAGCCGGCCUGAGAGGGUAACCGGCCACAUUGCGACUGAGAUACGGCCCAGACUCCUACGGGAGGCAGCAGUGGGGAAUCUUGCACAAUGGGCGCACGCCUGAUGCAGCAACGCCGCGUGCGUGAUGACGGCCUUCGUGUUGUAAACCGCUUUCGCCUGUGACGAAGCGUGCGUGACGGUAAUGGGUAAAGAAGCACCGGCUAACUACGUG
rnacentral:rRNA from 1 species